UAAAAUAGAGUUGCUAUGAUCUUGUUCUACGUGAUGCUUGAGAUUCAGAGUUUUAUUUUUGAAAAUGAUAAAAUGAUAAGUUCCUCAAUGAUGAGAAAUUCCUAUCCAAGGCCGUAUGUUGAUCCUAUUGCAUAGCCUCCACAUAUGCAACUUGUUCUCUCAUUGAGCUUUGUCAAAUUGUUUUGAACCUUAGUGAGAUACUUUUCAUACUCCCAGAUCAAGAUCACGUACACGCCACCACCAUAUGCUAAACUUCUACACUGAAAGAUAGCAAUCAUGCCAUCCAACCAUUCACAAAAUAAAGCUCCAUGUUGUUUUAUAGUCUCUUUCUCCAAAUUUAUCCUUGCAAAAGAGAUAUGGGCUAUGCAAAAAGAAAUAUAAUACAUGCUCAUAAAAGCAUGAUGAAAAAAAAAGAGAAAGAAAAGAUAGCCCAUGUCCCAAAAGAAGAAGCAAAGGAGAGAGAUGGAUCAUACAAAAGGAGUCUAUACACCAUCCACCAUAUCCACC
rnacentral:lncRNA from 1 species